rnacentral:rRNA from 1 species
GUCUACGGCCAUGCCACCCUGAACAAGCCCGAUCUCGUCUGAUCUCAGAGGCUAAGCAGGGUCGGGCCUGGUUAGCGCUUGGAUGGGAGACCACCUAGGAAGAUCAGGUGCUAUAGGCG